AUGAAUGGCUGCAAUGCACCAGACUUUGAAUAAACCUGCUCAAACCCUAUCGUCUCCUCCUCAGCUGCAGUAGAUAUCGGCGCCUCCUCCAGCGCCUCUUUUUUCCUUUUCCCCAUCCUCGCAUCGGGCAGAGCAGUGGCUCUCAGUGUGCCCAAACCCUAGCUUCGCACUACACAGCUCGCCAGAUCUCGCCCACGCGGAUCCGGCCCUUGCCGCAGUGGACCAUGCCCCUCCAUGUUUGGAGUCCCGACGGCUGGCUCGUCUCCCACCUUCCAUGACCACGGUGGGCACGGUGAACUGCACGAACAACACGACCUCGGCGAACCAGCAUGGAGGCCUGCCCGCGUGGUGCAGGCCCCAACUGCGCGCGUGGUGCAGGGGCAUGGCGACGGCCGGCUCCAGGAGGUGAGGAUCUCCUUCUCUCCUCUUUUUAUUUUUUUAUUUAGGGUCAGGGUUAGGGAUUCGGGAAAUAGAAGACUAUUCCUUCUAAUUGCAUAGCUCAUGGACUGAAUCACCCUUAAUUUCAUAAGACUAGAUCUAAUCAUGAUUUGUCUCAGGUCCCACAAACUGCUCUAGUAUUUUUGGAAAAGCAUUAGGGACUAAUCUUCUAGUAAUUUGAUCAAACCUGCUCUUCUUUGAAGAAUGAACAUCAUAUCUGCAACGCCAACCACUGCACCACCGUAUCUCUGCAACUGCAGAUUUAGACAAAUUCUGCGGAGCAUAUUUCCAAAGUAAGCUAGUUAUGAAUCUUUGAAGUUAUAAAUGAUACAUAUAUAAUUCUAUAUAUCUGGAUAGGACUGAAUCAUGCCAUGAUUCAGAUUCUAAAGUUACAUGAUGAAAAAAUAAUGUGAAAAAUCUUUAUCUACUAGUGAUACUCGACAGAGGAUUCUUGUGAAAUUUUGAAUGCCUUCCAAGUGAUCAAAGUACAAAAUUUGCUAAAUAGUAAGUGCCAUAUCAGGCAAGUGUGUUAAGUUUAUAUAAGUACUGAAGAAAUAAGGAAAGCUAACUAUUUCCUGAAGAGUGAAAUGGUGAAUCGAAUUGAAUCAUCAUUUUUUGGACAGUGAAAUGGUGAACUGAAUUUUUAGCAACCUGCGCAGUUGAAAAAUAAAAUCAGAAAAUUGUUAGCAUACUAAGGCUUAGCUGUGCAUAUAUAGUUGAUUACAGUCAGCACUGCAUACAUGUAAAUAGUCAUAUUGCAAUCUGCAAACAGUUAUAGAAUAAAAAGUCCACUACACUUCAAGAUAGUGCACUAAAGAAUUUGAUUGAACACGUGUACAAAGGAAGUUAGCAUGGUACCAGAUGUCAAAGAUCCUUGCAUAGUCUCUCAAAACAAUGUGUUGACAUUUCCUGAUAUCCUCGAUUAUAAUUACCGAUCUACAUGUUCGAUAGCAGAGUUAAUACAAGUACAAUGAUAUUAGGACAACUGAUAUAGGAGCUCUCGGACAUUAAUGCAUUUUCUAGAAACUGGAUUUAAUAAGGUACAGGUCUGUCAAUAUACAUAUCCAUCCAGACAAUGCCAAAUUGCAGGCAAGUAGGCAUCACCUUGCACUAUGCACAGCAAUUAGUAAGAAAAAAAAUAUUUCCAUUGAUAAAUAAAAGAUAAUUAGUCAAUUAGAUAAGAUAAUUACCUUCAGAGUAGUGAAUGCUUCUGAAAUUUGUAGCGCUGAGUGCCAGUCUUGUAGCUCAUGGAGCGAACCACCCUUGAGUGAAAUUUGUAGCUCAUAUACAUGCCUUGUUCUAACAUUCUUAGGGCGCAUCAUUUAUUUCAGGUUAAAAAGGAUGUUAUAUUAUAUGCUAUAUUGAGAUCUGAGUUACCCGUGGCUAGGGGGACAAUCCUUUCAACUACUCCAAGCACUAUUGUAGGAGGAUAGUCCAUUCAAUAAAGUAAUAAACUAGACUUGAUAGAAUUUUCAUUUCCACGACCUCUGAUGCAUGACCAAUGUUUCUAAUUAAUCCUAUAUGUGAUAGAUAAAGGAAUGCAAGAAGAGGGAAGACAAGAAGGCAUCAAGCACACCUCUCAAGGGCACUACAGGUAUGUCCCUUGACUACCUGUAAAACCUACUGACUAAAUUCAGCACCUAGUGACAAUCCUCAAGUAAUGAUUUAACUUACUGUUGUACUACUAUAAAAAUGUGUGAAGGUUUUGACCAGCCAAGAAAGUUUCUGGUUAGAUAUUUAGUAUGUAACAGUAGCCCAUUUUUUCUAGGCCUUAGUCAUCUUGUUUGUCACAUGACAGUGCUGCUAUGUUCAUAAAAAAACAUGACAAUGCUGCUAGGUAGAGGCCUUUGCACUCGACUGAUCUGCACCUAAUUAUUUUAGUCAUCUUGCCACUAAUAAGAAGUAUACGUGCUCCCUAGUGGUAAAUUUACUAAUUCUCUAGUGCUCCCUAGGAUGAGGCAAAUGGAAUUGUUGAAUGAUUCUGAAAACAAGAAGAGUUAUGCCCAUGGCAACCCACUGCCUCAACCUAGCAAGUGACUCAACCUAGCAAGCAGAAUUUAGCUAGCAAGUAAAAGAGAGAAUCUUUUAAAGAUGAUCCUACUCACACACUAGUAGUACACUACUAUUAUACAAUAGCUUUAUAUUAUUUUCUCCAACUCAACCUAGCAAGCAGAAUUUAGCUAGCAAGUAGAAGAGAUAUUCUUUUUAACAGAUGAUCGUACUCACACACUAGUAGUACACUACUAUUGUACAACAACUUUUUAUUAUUUUCUCCACUUGCCUAAUUACAUGUUAUAUUUUUCAGGAAGUGCUAGGCACAACAAGUGUUUGGCUUAAGUUCAUGGAAAAUGGUUCUCCACAACCUGGUGGACGUGCUUUUGGUUUUUCAUUUUCUAUUGUGUGCACCAACCUUAGUAUUAUAUAUCAAACACAAACUACUAUAUAUUGCUUGGUGUACAUUCAUGUAAGCUUGUGUUGGAUAAUGUACUAUGCAAGACAAGAUUGUAUGUUUGACUUUGUUGGAUAAUGUAGUGUGAUGUAAUGUGCAAGACAAGAUUGUAUGGUACAAUAUAUAUAUAUCUACCUUCAUAUCAUGUAUGACCUUAUAUCUUUGUGUGUGAUGGACAUUGAGCUUGAAUGUGGGUUUGAUGUGCUAAAUAUUUCCAUUUUUUUGUAUUCGAAUUGUGUCGUUGAACAAUCUGACGCUAUAUAUAUGUUGAUCAUU
rnacentral:lncRNA from 1 species